rnacentral:rRNA from 1 species
CAUGAAGCUGGAAUCGCUAGUAAUCGCGGAUCAGAAUGCCGCGGUGAAUACGUUCCCGGGUCUUGUACACACCGCCCGUCACACCACGAGAGUUUACAACACCCGAAGUCAGUGGCCUAACCGCAAGGAGGGAGCUGCCUAAGGUGGGGUAGAUGAUUGGGGUGAAGUCGUAACAAGGUAAC